rnacentral:rRNA from 1 species
CCUACGGGAGGCAGCAGUGGGGAAUAUUGGACAAUGGGGGCAACCCUGAUCCAGCCAUGCCGCGUGUGUGAAGAAGGCCCUCGGGUUGUAAAGCACUUUCAGUGAGGAAGAACGCCUGGUGGUUAAUACCCAUCAGGAAAGACAUCACUCACAGAAGAAGCACCGGCUAACUCCGUGCCAGCAGCCGCGGUAAUACGGAGGGUGCGAGCGUUAAUCGGAAUUACUGGGCGUAAAGCGCGCGUAGGUGGCUUGAUAAGCCGGUUGUGAAAGCCCCGGGCUCAACCUGGGAACGGCAUCCGGAACUGUCAAGCUAGAGUGCAGGAGAGGAAGGUAGAAUUCCCGGUGUAGCGGUGAAAUGCGGAGAGAUCGGGAGGAAUACCAGUGGCGAAGGCGGCCUUCUGGACUGACACUGACACUGAGGUGCGAAAGCGUGGGUAGCAAACAGGAUUAGAUACCCCAGUAGUC